rnacentral:lncRNA from 1 species
CGACUCCCGCAACGCGUCAGACUGACCGUCGGAGGGUUCCUGGGUCUUCACUCGACAUCCCACAACCAAAUGCCGACGUAUGGCCGGUCGGCUCCCUCAAACGCCGUACGACUGCUGAGGGUCGCCGUCCUGACAAAGGCAUGUGGCAUAGUCGUCUUGGGACAUUGUCCUGCUAAGGACAUAAAUUAAUCCCAGCGAUUUGACAAUCCAUGACGACUUGACAGUCCGCGGCGACUCUGACAGCCUCUGGCGAUUUGACAACUCUCCUAGUUGUCUGCACCAUUAAUGACGGCACCACGCCACGCUCUACUAUAAAACGGGGAAGGCAACAGUGCUG